UACGUAGGGUGCGAGCGUUAAUCGGAAUUACUGGGCGUAAAGCGUGCGCAGGCGGUUCGUUAAGUUCGUUGUGAAAGCCCCGGGCUCAACCUGGGAACUGCAAUGGAAACUGGCGGGCUUGAAUGCGGCAGAGGGGGGUGGAAUUCCGCGUGUAGCAGUGAAAUGCGUAGACACCAAGUGGAACACCAGUGGCGAAGGCGAGUCUCUGGACAUUUCCUGACGCUGAGGCACGAAAGCCAGGGGAGCAAACGGG
rnacentral:rRNA from 1 species